rnacentral:rRNA from 1 species
CGUGGUAUCCUGUCUGAAUAUGGGGGGACCAUCCUCCAAGGCUAAAUACUCCUGACUGACCGAUAGUGAACCAGUACCGUGAGGGAAAGGCGAAAAGAACCCCGGCGAGGGGAGUGAAAAAGAACCUGAAACCGUGUACGUACAAGCAGUGGGAGCACGCUUAGGCGUGUGACUGCGUACCUUUUGUAUAAUGGGUCAGCGACUUAUAUUCUGUAGCAAGGUUAACCGAAUAGGGGAGCCGAAGGGAAACCGAGUCUUAACUGGGCGUUAAGUUGCAGGGUAUAGACCCGAAACCCGGUGAUCUAGCCAUGGGCAGGUUGAAGGUUGGGUAACACUAACUGGAGGACCGAACCGACUAAUGUUGAAAAAUUAGCGGAUGACUUGUGGCUGGGGGUGAAAGGCCAAUCAAACCGGGAGAUAGCUGGUUCUCCCCGAAAGCUAUUUAGGUAGCGCCUCGUGAAUUCAUCUCCGGGGGUAGAGCACUGUUUCGGCAAGGGGGUCAUCCCGACUUACCAACCCGAUGCAAACUGCGAAUACCGGAGAAUGUUAUCACGGGAGACACACGGCGGGUGCUAACGUCCGUCGUGAAGAGGGAAACAACCCAGACCGCCAGCUAAGGUCCCAAAGUCAUGGUUAAGUGGGAAACGAUGUGGGAAGGCCCAGACAGCCAGGAUGUUGGCUUAGAAGCAGCCAUCAUUUAAAGAAAGCGUAAUAGCUCACUGGUCGAGUCGGCCUGCGCGGAAGAUGUAACGGGGCUAAACCAUG